GAUGGAGCACGCCGCGUGAGUGANAAGGGUUUCGGCUCGUAAAACUCUGUUGUUAAAGAAGAACAUAUCUGAGAGUAACUGUUCAGGUAUUGACGGUAUUUAACCAGAAAGCCACGGCUAACUACGUGCCAGCAGCCGCGGUAAUACGUAGGUGGCAAGCGUUGUCCGGAUUUAUUGGGCGUAAAGCGAGCGCAGGCGGUUUUUUAAGUCUGAUGUGAAAGCCUUCGGCUCAACCGAAGAAGUGCAUCGGAAACUGGGAAACUUGAGUGCAGAAGAGGACAGUGGAACUCCAUGUGUAGCGGUGGAAUAA
rnacentral:rRNA from 1 species